rnacentral:rRNA from 1 species
CUUACCAGGAAGAGCUUUCACAUACAAACCACCAGAUGUGUUCUCUGUGAAGAUGAGCCAAAUGAACAUCUAAUGCACCUCUUUUUCAGUUGUGAUUUUAGUCAGAAUUUCUGGAUGAAUAUUGGUUUCCAAUGGAACACAGAUUAUGACUUAUUGGAGAUGCUAAUGGAUGCUAGAAGGCAGAACACCACAUCAUGUUUCAGAGAAUGCCUCAUUGCUGGAUGUUGGAGUUUGUGGAAACAUAGAAACAGUAUCGUUUUUGACCACAAGGAAAGAAACAUGGCAUAUUGCAUCAAUACUUUCAAGGAACACUUCAGUAUCAUCAUCAAAAAAGCCAAGCCUAAUCCGAAAGAAGGCAUGCAGAGUUGGUUGGACUACUUGUAG